AUUGAACGCUGGCGGCAGGCCUAACACAUGCAAGUCGGACGGUAGCACAGAGAGCUUGCUCUUGGGUGACGAGUGGCGGACGGGUGAGUAAUGUCUGGGGAUCUGCCCGAUAGAGGGGGAUAACCACUGGAAACGGUGGCUAAUACCGCAUAACGUCGCAAGACCAAAGAGGGGGACCUUCGGGCCUCUCACUAUCGGAUGAACCCAGAUGGGAUUAGCUAGUAGGCGGGGUAACGGCCCACCUAGGCGACGAUCCCUAGCUGGUCUGAGAGGAUGACCGGCCACACUGGAACUGAGACACGGUCCAGACUCCUACGGGAGGCAGCAGUGGGGAAUAUUGCACAAUGGGCGCAAGCCUGAUGCAGCCAUGCCGCGUGUAUGAAGAAGGCCUUCGGGUUGUAAAGUACUUUCAGCGGGGAGGAAGGCGGUGCGGUUAAUAACCGUACCGAUUGACGUUACCCGCAGAAGAAGCACCGGCUAACUCCGUGCCAGCAGCCGCAGUAA
rnacentral:rRNA from 1 species